rfam:Xenopus tropicalis strain Nigerian Chr07_contig_4002, whole genome shotgun sequence.
GGGGGUAUAGCUCAGGGGUAGAGCAAUUAACUGCAGAUCAAGAGGUCCCGGGUGCCCCCU